GACAGAGGAUGCAAGCGUUAUCCGGAAUGAUUGGGCGUAAAGCGUCUGUAGGUGGCUUUUUAAGUCUGCCGUCAAAUCCCAGGGCUUAACCCUGGACAGGCGGUGGAAACUACCAAGCUGGAGUACGGUAGGGGCAGGGGGAAUUUCCGGUGGAGCGGUGAAAUGCGUUGAGAUCGGAUGGAACGCCCGUGGCGAAAGCGAGGUCCUGGACGUUUUCUGACGCUGAGACGCGAAAAGCCAGGGGGAGCGAACGGG
rnacentral:rRNA from 1 species